rnacentral:rRNA from 1 species
UACGAAGGGGGCUAGCGUUGCUCGGAAUCACUGGGCGUAAAGCGCACGUAGGCGGAUUGCUAAGUCAGGGGUGAAAUCCUGGAGCUCAACUCCAGAACUGCCUUUGAUACUGGCGAUCUUGAGUACGGGAGAGGUGAGUGGAACUGCGAGUGUAGAGGUGAAAUUCGUAGAUAUUCGCAAGAACACCAGUGGCGAAGGCGGCUCACUGGCCCGAUACUGACGCUGAGGCACGAAAGCGUGGGGAGCAAACAGGGA